GCGUGAGCCUAGAGUUAUGGAAGAACUUGUAGUUCUUAAUUCUGGAAGUAGGACAGUAUCUUCCAAGCAACCAGAUCGACAGCAAAACGGGGAAAUCUUGUCAGACAUAAAAGAAGCUUCAAAUAUCCGAUUCUGUCUCCACUUGCAGGUGACGAAAAACUGCAAAACCCAAUCUCCUGUAAGCAAAACUCUGAAAGGAACAAAGAAGCAAAAGAGUUAGACAAUAUAUUUUGAGGAAUGAAUUAUGUAACAUUCAAAAGCACCACACAACAUCAAUAAACGAAAUCCGAUAAAUCAGAGCAUUACAGUUACAAACAAACGCAACAGGACGAGAAAAAAUAGACAAGGAGACAAGGAUCAAUCAAAAGUCGAAGGCGAAAAUUCCGAUCUGUGUCAAAUCUCAGUCAAAUAAGGUUCAUAAUCAUAUCAUUAGUUUCGAUCGUUUAGCUCACCAGAAACAAAAUAUAAUCAGAUAACUGGAAAAUUCGAAGCUUAAGAAAACGAACCAGAUCCCUCUAACAACACCAAUAGACAAACAAAAAUCACACGAGAUUGAAACAACAACAAAAACAAAUAUCGAAGAAAUCUAUCGCCCAAAAAAGCAAAAUCCCUAAUACGCCUGGAAAAAAAAAGGUUCAAGGAUCUGGAGAAAUACCUCUUUCUAUUAGACGAGGAGGAAAUCGAAGACACAAGAAGCGAUUGAUACGGAAUAAAGAGUUCGUCGUUGAGAGGCGUUUGAUUAUAUAGGAAGAGAGUUGUUGGAGAUAUUAGGGUUAACUUGGGAAUAGAAAAGGAAAAAUACCCAAAUUUUAUUUUACAGUAUUUCGACUUUUCCGUUUCGAAAGUAUUUUCCUUCUCCUCGAGUAAUUCAUUUAAUUUCCCAUCUGUUUCAGGAUUAAGGAUGAAAGGCCGCCAGCGAUGUUUCUGCUUCAAUCUUUGAUUGGCCACAUGUUUACACGUGUUGUUUUUUCUUGUACCUUUUAUCUUUUGUAUUUGGGUUAAUGUUGGGCUUUAAUUUGUUUUCAGUUGGGUUUUGGAUGCUAAUCACCACUUGUAAUGCCCAUGUUUUUGGACUUUCGUUUAUAAAAUGAAUAGAUGACAAAAGAAAGACCCAAUAGGAAUGGCUUGCUUUAUUUAUUUAAUUUUCUUUCGACUGUAACUUAUUUUUUAUAUUUUCCGAUUCAGAAGUAUAUUUCUUUCUCCUAAUAACAUAUUUUUCGUUACAUUGUAGAAAAAAUGUCUGGUAAUAUCUUAGAAAUAAAUUAUGUUUUAGUCUUUUAGACCAUGGGUUACUCAACAAAUACACUUUAAUAAGUCCGAAAAAAAUACACUUUAAUAUUAGUAGAUAUUAUAAAAAAAAUAAAUAGUUUCUAUAAUACAUAUAAAAAAAAAUUAUCAAGGUACCUUCUCGGUAAUUAUCAAACCCAAAUACCAUUUAAGAGUUGUAGUUCAAAUCAACUCUCUUCUCUAUUCAACAAUUUUGAUAUUAAUCUUAUCAUUUAACCAAAAAAACCAUUUAUUGUUAUAAACAAAUGGAUUUCUAGUAACCGGUCCACUAACCAUCAGGUUAAUGUCUUAUGGCUCAUUAGGAUUUAUGAUGCAUUAGUUAUGUAAUAUAUAUAUACACUGCUUAUGGAAAUAAUAAGACCAGAGUUUUUUCCCUUAAUACGUUAUCAGCACGAAGCUCAACUUCAAACGAUCAUACUCUCAAAAUACAAGGAGUUAGAAGGCGAUCUACAUAUCAUUUUGAAGCCCUGGAAGAGAAGAAUCUAGUGGUGAAAACCGCUCCUCAAUCCGACACCAGACGCGCCCUCAAGACUCAAAACAAUCGGCACUGUCCCACCUUCGCGGGUUAUUCUUUCCAAGCGGUGGUUCCUCCAUUGUAGCAGCUGUUCGUCCUCCCUUCUGACCAUCAUUCUCAGAAGUUUCCAGUAGAUAUCUGUGGUCUUUAGCUCCCAAAUCAUAAGCCGGUCAGAAAUCCAUUUGGCGAAAAAGUAUUAUCUAAACCCUAAUGCUUUGUUCAAACCCUAUACCGAUCGGUCCUAGCAUCAUCUAAACCAAACACUAAAAUUCCUUGCAAACCGAAACCUAAAUCUUUGCAAAACCCUAGAUCUAAAAUCGUUUUGGUUUGUCUAUCGUUAAACCGAGAUCGAUCGGUUUAAAUCCUAAACCGAUCGGUUAUUUAUCUUAGAUCCGAUCCUUGAAAACCCUAAAACCGGUCCAUGCAAGCUCCUAAAUCCUAAACCAAUCGACCCCUUAAACUCUAAACCAAUCGAUCCACCUAAACCGUUUAUAAACCGAUAAAUUCUAAUCCUAAAUCGAUAGGGUUUAAGUUUAAACCGAUCGGUUUUUCCUAAUAAAAAUUAAACCCUAGCAAAUCCGUUUAGUUUAAUCCCUUAACCGAUUAAUAACCCUAAUAACCGGUUUCCAAAAUUAAAUCUAAUUUAACCGGUUUUGUUGUUUAAUCGAUCAAUCCGAUCGGUUUAAGCUUAAUCGGUUAAUUUCAAAUUAGUUUAUCUAUUAGAGCUAAAUUUGGAAACCCUAGUAAACCGGCUAGGUUAUAAACCCUAAGGUUCGAUUUUAGAGUUCCCUUAUAUAGCAAGUUUCCUAAAAUAGCAAGUUUCCUGAAAUGGAAAGUUUUCCCAAGAAUACCUUAAAUCCCUUAUUCCAAUGAUCAUAGUCUCAUACUAUUGAUUAUUUAACAUAAAUUAUUAUAUGUUUCAGAUGUCAAAUAUUCAGAAGGUCGAAUAUGAGGCACUCACUGUCUCCGGAGAUAACUACCUCAAAUGGGCCAUUGACACCAAGAUCUACCUCAACUCAAAAAGUCUGGGUGAAUGCAUCCAAGAUCCCAACACCGCGACUCAAACAGAACGGUACUCGGCGAUAUUUAUUAUCCGCCAUCACCUCGCUGAGUCUCUCAAGCAACAAUACCUCACUCUUGAGGAUCCACUCGAACUUUGGGUGGCACUGAAAAAGCGAUAUGACCAUCAGAAAACGGUCAUACUGCCCCAAGCCAAGUUCGAUUGGAAGAACCUACGGUUCGAAGAUUUCAAAUCCGUCGAAGAAUUCAAUUCCGAACUCUUUCGGAUAGUUGCACUCAUAAGACUAUGUGGCGAGCAGGUCACUGAUAAGGAUAUGCUAGAGAAAACAUUCUCUACUUUUGGCACUCCCAAUGUUGUUCUCCAACAACAAUACCGUGCCAUGAAUCAUAGCACCUAUGAGGAUUUGAUAUCUUGCUUACUGCUUGCUGAGAAGAACAAUCAGCUUCUGUUUAGGAACAGUGCCAUGCGGCCUCCAGGAUCAGCCCCAUUGCCAAAAGGAACCAGAAAAGAGUCCAACUUCGUCCAACGUAACAGAUCCUCAGAUCGUGGACGUGGACGUGGAAAUGGACAUGGACUGCGCGGCAGAGGACGCGAUAGACCGAACCAAGAUAACCGACCUAGCCUCAGUUUUGGUCGGGGUAAGGGUCGUGGUAUCAACAAACCGACCCAAAGAGGCAGUUCAUCUAGACCAACUCCUUGCUCAAGAUGCGGAAUGACUAAUCAUUGGGUCAAGAUCUGCCGUACUCCCAAAUAUCUUGCUGAGCUCUACUAGAAGUAUGGGAAAGAUAAUCAUGAGGCUAACCUGGUUCAUCAAGUCAAUGAAGAUGACUCAAAGGAUGAUAAGAUUGAUGGCAUGGAUUAUGAGCUCUCCGACCUCCUUGAUUGAUCUCAAAAAUCUGAAUUUGUUUUUCAUUAUUCCUUAAACUUUUAUCUUUUGUUUUUGGGAUUUAUUGUCUUUACUUUGGAUUUUUAAGACCUUUUUGCUUUUACAUUUUAAUUUAUGGAGUAAUGUUUUAUUUACAUCUCAUUUUUGCAUGUUAUUGAAUUAUAAUUCUUGUUUAAUGAAGAUAUGCAAGACAAUAUGGAUAUCAUUGUGGAUAGUGGAUCGAGCCACACCAUUCUAAAAGACAAGAAUUACUUCAUAAAUUUAGUAAUCAAAACCGCAAACAUUAGCACUAUAGCGGGUAGUUCGAGCCUAAUAGAGGGCUAUGGCCAAGCUAAUGUGCUGUUAUCAAAUGGCACAUAUCUAGACAUCUCUGAUGCCUUAUACUCACCCAGUUCUAAGAGAAACCUAUUGAGUUUCAAAGACAUAAGAUUGAAUGGUUUUCAUAUCGAAACUCAGGAUGAAGGGAACAAAGAGUUUUUAAUUAUCACUAAAAUGAUAAAUGGCCAUAAACAAGUUUUUGAAACUAUACCCGCCGUAUCUACUGGCAUUUACCAUGCUAAAGUCAGUAUGAUUGAGGCUAAUGCUGCUAUCAAAGCACGGUUUUUAGAUUACACUAUUUGGCAUGAUCGCCUGGGUCAUCCCGGUGCGAACAUGAUGCGUAAAUUAGUCCAGAAUUCUAAAGGGCACAGCCUUAAACCAAAUGGUAUUUUCCCUCAGCACCUCAAGUGCACAGCUUGCUCACAAGGGAAACUGAUUACCCGACUUUCACCAGUCAAAGUGUCUAAAGAGACCUUGAACUUUCUGGAAAGAAUCCAAGGAGACAUAUGUGGACCAAUUCACCCACCUUGUGGGACAUUCAGAUAUUUCAUGGUCCUCAUUGACGCAUCGACCCGGUGGUCACAUGUCUGUCUGCUCUCUUCUAGGAACCAGGCUUUUGCUAGGUUAUUGGCCCAAAUCAUCAGAUUACGAGCCCAUUUUCCAGACUUCCCAUUAAAGACUAUACGUCUUGAUAAUGCUGGUGAAUUCACUUCCCAAGCGUUUAAUGAAUAUUGUAUGUCCAUGGGGGUAAGUGUUGAACAUCCCGUUCCACAUGUCCAUACACAAAAUGGAUUAGCUGAAUCCUUCAUUAAACGAAUUCAAUGGGUUGCUAGACCAUUACUCAUGAGGUCACAACUCCCGGUCUCAGCUUGGGGACACGCAGUCUUACAUGCGGCUGAACUAAUACGCAUACGACCAUCUAGUGAGCACAAAUAUUCACCAUCCCAAUUGCUAACGGGUCAUGAGCCAGACGUCUCCCAUAUUAAAACGUUUGGGUGUUCAGUCUAUGUACCCAUUGCACCACCAUAGAGGACUAAAAUGGGACCUCAAAGGAGGAUGGGAAUAUAUGUUGGUUUUGAUUCUCCCACCAUCAUAAAAUAUCUCGAGCCAACUACAGGAGAUCUGUUCAAAGCCAGAUAUGCAGAUUGCCGAUUUGAUGAAUCGGUAUAUCCUAGAUUAUGUGGUGAGACAGACAAGCUGGUAAAAGAACUUUCAUGGAAUCAAACAUCCACACAAUGGCAAGAUCCUCGGACUCUAGAAUGUGAUUCAGAGGUCCAAAGAAUUAUACAUUUAUAAAAGCUAGCUAAUCAAUUGCCAGAUUCCUUUGCUGACCCGAACAAAGUUACCAAAUCGUACAUACCAGCUUGUAAUGCACCAGUACGAAUAGAUGUCCCCUCAGGGAAAAGUCAAGUUGCUACAGAGUCUGACGCACGUAAGAAACGUGGCAGACCACCAGGUUCCAAAGAUAAGAAUCCCCGGAAAUCAAAGAAAGGUGCAAUGAUUGAAACCGGGAUUCAAGAGAACACGGAUACAGCCUCAGCUGAUACUUACCCUAUCGAACCAUCUCAAGAGGUUUGGGACGCCAAAACUCAAGGUUCUGAAGGGAUUGAUAAUAAUGAGAUCUCAAUCAAUUAUAUCAUAUUCGGUUCUCUAUGGAACAGAAAAGAUGUCGACAUCAAUGAAACUUUUGCAUACAAAGUAGCACUUGAGAUUGCGCACACGCAAGAUGAUCUAGAACCCACGUCUAUAAUUGAGUGCACUCGUAGAUCAGAUUGGCUGAAAUGGAAAGAAGCUAUAAACGUGGAGUUGAAUAGUUUAAAGAAACGGAAUGUGUUUGGUCCGAUCUUAAGGACACCAUUCGAUGUUAAACCAGUGGGAAACAAAUGGGUCUUUGUGCGUAAAAGAAACGAACUCGGCGAAGUCGUUAGAUACAAGGCACGCCUUGUAGCACAAGGAUUCUCACAGAGACCCGGAAUCAAUUAUGAGGAGACUUAUUCUCCAGUGGUGGAUGCAACUACAUUUCGAUUCCUCAUAAGUCUGGCCAUAAGAGAAAACUUAGAUUUGCUGUUAAUGGAUGUUGUAACCGCAUAUCUUUAUGGACCACUGGACAGUGAAAUCUAUAUGAGAUUACCAGAUGGUAUUAAGCUCAAAGAUAAGCAUGCAUCUCGUGAUAAACACUGCAUUAGGCUGAACAAAUCCUUAUAUAGACUGAAACAAAGCGGACGUAUGUGGUAUAACCGGUUAAGCGAAUAUCUCAUCAGAGAAGGCUACGAAAACGAUCCGAUCAGUCCAUGCAUCUUCAUUAGAAAAUAUCAAAACAAAGGAUUUGUAAUCAUAGCAGUAUACGUGGAUGACUUGAACAUCCUCGGAACAUCUGGUGAAAUCGCCCAAACAGUUGAAUGCUUAAAAGCAGAGUUUGAAAUGAAAGACUUAGGCAAAACUAAAUUCUGUUUGGGAUUACAACUUGAGUACGUCAAUGACGGAAUCCUUAUGCAUCAAUUGGCAUACACUGAAAAGGUACUCAAGAGAUUCAAUAUGGACCAGGCCCACCCAUUGACCAGCCCAAUGGUUGUGAGGAGCCUUGGAUUGGAUAGUGAUCCAUUCGGUCCAAAGAAGGACGAUGAAGAAAUCCUCGGUCCUGAAAUGACAUACCUCAGUGCCAUAGGAGCAUUAAUGUACUUGGCUAAUCACACUAGACCAGACAUCUGCUUUGCCGUGAGCCUCUUAGCUCGCUUUAGUUCGUGUCCAACUCAAAGGCACUGGAACGGUAUUAAGCAUAUCCUUAGAUACCUUCAAGGUACUAAGGACUUGGCAUUAUUUUAUUCUAACCAUAACGAGGAUGGUCUAGUUGGUUUUGCUGAUGCAGGAUAUUUGUCAGAUCCGCACUGUGCCCGGUCUCAAACCGGUUAUGUUUUCACGCAUGGAGGAACAGCCAUAUCUUGGAGAUCCAUGAAGCAGACUAUUGCCGCUACCUCAUCCAACCAUGCGGAAAUCUUGGCCAUUCACGAAGCUAGUAGAGAGUGUGUUUGGUUGCGGUCCAUGACUCAGCAUAUCCGAUCAGAUUGUGGUAUAGACGAAGAUAAGGAGCCUACGGUGAUGUAUGAAGACAAUGCAGCUUGUAUCGCUCAACUCAAGGACGGCUACAUCAAAGGUGACCGGACGAAGCAUAUUCUGCCCAAAUUCUUCUUCACUCAUGAGCUACAGAAGGAUGGUCAGGUCAAGGUUCAGCAAGUCCGAUCAAGCGAAAAUUCAGCCGAUCUAUUCACUAAAUCAUUACCGACUUCUACACUCCGGAAGCUCAUUCAUCAGAUAGGAAUGCGUAGACUUAGAGAUCUACAGUGAUGCCUAAACCAGGGGGAGUAAUGCGUGUUGUACUCUUUUUUCUUCACCAUGGUUUUUCCCACUGGGUUUUCCUGGUAAGGUUUUAAUGAGACAACGUUCCCCAGCGCAUUAUAGAGAUCCCGGUUUUGUGACAGGCACGGUUACCUUGUCCAAGGGGGAGUGUUAUAAACAAAUGGACUUCUAGUAACCGGCCCAUUAACCAUUAGGUUAAUGUCUCAUGACCCAUUAAGGUUUCUGAUGCAUUAGUUAUGUAAUGUAUAUAUACACUGCUUAUGGAAAUAAUAAAAUCAGAAAUAAGCUAAAACUUCUUAUUUAUUUUUUUUUUUUUUUUGCAUAUAGCUAAGGAUUUUUCUGGCAAGUAUGUGAUGCCAGGUUCGUCUAGAAGUCUCCCAUCAUUGGAAACAACUAAUUUGAUAAAUUGGUAUAUUCCAAAUCCGCCAAAGAUUUCAGAGCUAUCACAUUAUUAAGGACAGAUUCUUGUUGUUAUAUCUGCUCUGAUUUUCUUAUCUUUAUGUGGAUCAAACAAGUUUUGAUGCGGUAAAUUGGUUCCUCCCUAUUUUGCUUGAGCAUGAGAACAAGUGAAGAAUAUAUGCUCCAUUUUUUUUUUGUCUUCUACAAGAGUUAAGUUAGGAACAUUGAUUAGCAUGCAUUUAUUCUGGUUCAUUCAAUUCAAACCCCGUAUAUUUUUGUAUUUCAUUCAUAUAACUACAUAAGGCUUUGAGCGAUUUUUGUUUAUUGUCACUUAUGAGUUAGAAAAACCUCAUGAUGUUGCUUUGAGCAUGAGAACAAGUUCAUUAUGUGCAUAUGUCUGAAUGUUUUUCUUGAUAUAUAAAUCUAAAUUCACUCAUUAUUCUAACCGUGGAUAUUAAUUUUAGUAAGAGACGCGUAACAUAUGGUAGAUAAAAAUGGUGAUGUUGAGAUUUUGGUGUUCAAUCUAUCUCUUUGGACCCGGCCCGGUUCGGUCUUAAAGCCAUAAAGUCUUUAGACCAUUAGGUGAAAAAUUACAGAAGUGGAAGACGCAGACGUACACAAUCGAAAAUUUAAGACUCAAGCAUAAGCUCCGAAAUGCCAAACAAUUCCCUCAACAGUUCUUCAGAACUAAACCGGAUUUUAAUAAGGAUGUUGAUUUAAGGGUGUCUAAAUGGGUUGAAGUUGAUGAGCCACCCCAACCCAAUACAACUAUAAAAUAAUACGUUGAAAAAUCAGUUUUCAUUAGAACAAAACUCGACCAUGGUACUUUUCGUUAAUAUAUCUGUCAAAUCAAUGUAACGUCAAUAAUCGUCCUACGCUUAGCAAACACGUAAAGAUAAACAGUAUGAUUAGUUAACAUAUUUAUUGAAUAGAUUAUAGCAACAAGUACGAACAACCAUUUGUAAAUUUUUGUAUGAUGAAAUAAACAAUAAUAAAAGUCAGAUCGCAUUUUUCAAAAAAAGAUGCUUUUAUAUCCUCCGAAAGAAAUAACGCAGGGAAACAGACGAAAAACUGAAACAAAAACCCAUUACAAAGAAACGGCCAAGGAGCAAUAAGAAGUCUCAAUCCUCCUCUUCCGACUCCGACUCAGCGCUCUGGAGCCACUCGACAAAAGGCUGCACCUUUUUCCAAACCGGCGAGCUUUUGUCAACUCCGGUCAGACCCUUUUGGUACCAUUCCAAAACAAACUCUUCCUCAAUGAUGUCUUGAUCGUACAAUGCUUUAAGAACCAGAGCCACCUCUUUGACCGCUUCUUCGUUUCCAUUCUUUCCGCAGAAUGAUUCGAUCGAAUUGAGAAGAUGCAUCUGUGAUCCAUCCUCUUGCGUUGCAGCCACCAAGUAGUUCUUCUUCUUCGUCACUUCCUUGGCAAAUCCUUUGCCCACACCAUCAAAGAGUGCAGUGAAGAGUGCGUCCAUGACGUCUUGAGGAGGAUCAGAGCGAGAGGAGAUGAAAUUUUUGAGCUCGCUUAUCGGUGAACCUUUCUUCAGAUGCUCUUUCAUCUCCUGCACUAGCUUCUCCAGCGGUUUCUCAGUUUUCACAUCUCCGUUAGCUAGGCCUUUGGGCACCUUUUUCUCUUCUUCUUCUCUAGCAGUGAGCAUCACCAACUCGGCAGUUGCAGCGCUUAACUGUUCUUUCAUUCUUUUCUCAGCGGCUUCUCGGGAAGUAUCGGUUUGCCACUGGAUAUCAUCAUCGUCUUCAUCAUCGUCCACUUCCUGCGCAAUCUCAUCAUGCUUCGGGCUGAUAUCCUCAUCAGAAGUAUGAUUCUUGGACGUCUUAGAAGAAGAAGCAUCCUUCCCGUUGGUAGAAGCUUUCUUCUUAGCUUCCUUCUUCAACUUUCUCUGCUCCUCAUCGGCUGCUUCGCCUUCUUUGAGUCUCUCCUUCUCAGCCCUUCUCAUUGCUUUCUUGUCUUUUGAGCCCUUCUUCGCCUCCGGUGGGUUCUUUAAAAUGAAUGUUGUCAGUUUAUCCCUCAUGUCAACCUCAGAGAUAAACCCGCAAGCAGCACACUUGAGAUUCACCAUCUGCGUCUUUGUGAUGAUAAUCUCAGUCUCAGGGUUGCCACAUCCAUAGCACUGGACAUACUUCUUAAUGAAAACCUCCAGAAGCGAGGCAAGCUUGGGGGUAGUGUGGGCUCCAUUCACAAGCGAUGUCCCGGUCUUCUCGUCAAAUUUGGACUGAGCACCGAGCUCACAGCCAAAGUACUUGGUCGUGUAAGAAGGAGGCCUCCCCAAGGCUUUGGCAAUCUCAACAUUGUUGAUAAUGUUAGUCUUGAUGCCAUUGCCUUUGCCUUCAGUCUUGGUAAGCAUCUUUGGCAUCUUGUACCUGUAAAAGGCAUCGUUACGGUUGGAUUCACCAAUGUUCUGCAGCGCCAUCUUGAGAUCUUGCUAGACGGGGAAAAAGGGAUCAAUGGCUUUCUUUGAACCGGGAAACUGAGUUAAAGGAGUCUCCGGUUUGAAAAUGCGUGAGCCUAGAGUUAUGGAAGAACUUGUAGUUCUUAAUUCUGGAUGUAGGACAGUAUUUUCCAAGCAACCAGAUAGAAAGCAAAACGGGGAAAUCUUGUCAGACAUAAAAGAAGCUUCAAAUAUCCGAUUCUGUCUCCACUUGCAGGUGACGAAAAACUGCAAAACCCAAUCUCCGGUAAAGCAAAACUCUGAAAGGAACAAAUAAGCAAAGGAAUUAGACAAGCUAUCGAGCAAAUUCAAAAGAACCACACAACAUCAAUGAACGAAAUCGAUCAAUCAGAGCAUUACAGUUUACAAACAAACACAACAGGACGACAAAAAUUAGACAACGAGACAAGGAUUAAUCAAAAUUCGAAGGCGAAAAUUCCGAUCUGUGUCAAAUCUCAGUCAAUAAGGUUCAUAAUCAUCAUCAGUUUCAAUCGUUUAGCUCACCAGAAACAAAAUAUAAUCAGAUAAAUGGAGAAUUCGACCGCCUAAGAAAACGGCCCAGAUCCCUCUAACAACACGCCAGUAGACAAACAACAAUCACACGAGAUUAAAACAACAACAAAAACAAAUAUCGAAGAAUCUAUCGCCCAAUAAAGCAAAAUCACUAAUACGCCUGGAAGAAAAAAGGUACAAGGAUCUAGAGAAAU
rnacentral:lncRNA from 1 species